AGAGACAGCAGCAGCCGCGGUAAUACGUAGGUCCCGAGCGUUAUCCGGAUUUAUUGGGCGUAAAGCGAGCGCAGGCGGUUAGAUAAGUCUGAAGUUAAAGGCUGUGGCUUAACCAUAGUACGCUUUGGAAACUGUUUAACUUGAGUGCAAGAGGGGAGAGUGGAAUUCCAUGUGUAGCGGUGAAAUGCGUAGAUAUAUGGAGGAACACCGGUGGCGAAAGCGGCUCUCUGGCUUGUAACUGACGCUGAGGCUCGAAAGCGUGGGGAGCAAACAGGAUUAGAUACCCCCGUAGUCCCUGUCUCUUAUACA
rnacentral:rRNA from 1 species